UGAGGAAUAUUGGGCAAUGCCCGCAAGGGUGACCCAGCAACGCCGCGUGGAGGAUGAAUGUCGUAAGAUUGUAAACUCCUGUUAGAGGGGAAGAAUAGUACCGGUUGGACCGGUAUAUGACUGUACCCUCAGAGAAAGCCCCGGCUAACUACGUGCCAGCAGCCGCGGUAAUACGUAGGGGGCAAGCGUUGUCCGGAUUUACUGGGUGUAAAGGGUGCGCAGGCGGGAUAAAAAGUCAGUGGUGAAAUCCUACAGCUUAACUGUAGAACUGCCUUUGAUACUUUUAUUCUUGAGUUCGGGAGAGAGAGACGGAAUUCCAGGUGUAGUGGUGAAAUACGUAGAUAUCUGGAAGAACACCGGUUGCGAAGGCGGUCUCUUGGUCCGACACUGACGCUGAGGCGCGAAAGCGUGGGGAGCAAACA
rnacentral:rRNA from 1 species